rnacentral:rRNA from 1 species
CCAUGAGGUUCUCACUGUCCCAAACUAUCUCUCAGCGAACCAACUGUUGUGGGAACGGGCACAAACUAUCCAGCGGGGAAAGAAGACCCUGUAGAGCUUCACUUUGGUCUAGUCUUGUAUGGUUUCGUCGGGGGUGCAGUCUAGGUGGGAGAGCAAUCGAAUAUGAGAAACCACUACCCCGUCUGGAAUUAUGCUUACCU